UACGAAGGGGGCUAGCGUUGUUCGGAAUUACUGGGCGUAAAGCGCGCGCAGGCGGUCUUCCAAGUCAGUGGUGAAAGCCCGGAGCUCAACUCCGGAACUGCCAUUGAAAACUGUAAGACUUGAGGACGAGAGAGGUGAGUGGAAUUCCCAGUGUAGAGGUGAAAUUCGUAGAUAUUGGGAAGAACACCAGUGGCGAAGGCGGCUCACUGGCUCGUAUCUGACGCUCAGGCGCGACAGCGUGGGGGAUCAAACAGG
rnacentral:rRNA from 1 species